rnacentral:rRNA from 1 species
AUUGAACGCUGGCGGCAGGCCUAACACAUGCAAGUCGAGCGGAUGAAGGGAGCUUGCUCCUGGAUUCAGCGGCGGACGGGUGAGUAAUGCCUAGGAAUCUGCCUGGUAGUGGGGGAUAACGUCCGGAAACGGGCGCUAAUACCGCAUACGUCCUGAGGGAGAAAGUGGGGGAUCUUCGGACCUCACGCUAUCAGAUGAGCCUAGGUCGGAUUAGCUAGUUGGUGGGGUAAAGGCCUACCAAGGCGACGAUCCGUAACUGGUCUGAGAGGAUGAUCAGUCACACUGGAACUGAGACACGGUCCAGACUCCUAAGGGAGGCAGCAGUGGGGAAUAUUGGACAAUGGGCGAAAGCCUGAUCCAGCCAUGCCGCGUGUGUGAAGAAGGUCUUCGGAUUGUAAAGCACGUUAAGUUGGGAGGAAGGGCAGUAAGUUAAUACCUUGCUGUUUUGACGUUACCAACAGAAUAAGCACCGGCUAACUUCGUG